ACCGAGGUGGUGGAGAUGACACCUGUGGUGGCGUUGAUGGCGAACAGAGCGUGGUUCUCGCUGAAACGGUAGCUGAAGUUCGGCUUGGCCAUACAAUGUACCAGGGUUUUACUAAGUAGUCAGAUGAAGAUGACUCUGUGGACUCCUUCAUGCCAUGAAGACUGUUGUGAACUGAGCUAAAGAGGUUCUGCUAAAGGAUGCCCUUUUGGUGAUGACUGUGUGGAAGUCGGAUGGAGUAAAGCUGCUGUUGGAGGUGACUCGAUGGCCAAAUCCUGCAUGAUGCAAAGGAGUUGAACUCUACAUGAGAAAGACAGAGUUUUGAAGGACAUUAUGGCUGAACGUGGUGCCAUAUGUGCCAAGGGGACUGGCAGUAAAUGCGUGAGAUCCACCUUUGUGCUAUCAGCUAUUUAAUGUGUAAUUUAUAGUUUCUAUUGAAUACGGUUUGCCUGUUAAUUCACGUUUAAUUUAUGCUAAUUUUGGUUUGAUAGUUAUAGUAAAAAUUAUAAAAAGUGAAA